GAUGAACGCUGGCGGCGUGCCUAAUACAUGCAAGUCGAGCGAACGGACGAUAAGCUUGCUUCUCUGAUGUUUGCGGCGGACGGGUGAGUAACACGUGGAUAACCUACCUAUAAGACUGGGAUAACUUCGGGAAACGGUAGCUAAUACCGUAUAAUAUUUUGAACCGCAUGGUUCAAAAGUGAAAUACGGUCUUGCUGUCACUUAUAGAUGGAUCCGCGCUGCAUUAGCUAGUUGGUAAGGUAACGGGUUACCAAGGCAACGAUGCAUAGCCGACCUGAGAGGGUGAUCGGCCACACUGGAACUGAGACACGGUCCAGACUCCUACGGGAGGCAGCAGUAGGGAAUCUUCCGCAAUGGGCGAAAGCCUGACGGAGCAACGCCGCGUGAGUGAUGAAGGUCUUCGGAUCGUAAAACUCUGUUAUUAGGGAAGAACAUAUGUGUAAGUAACUGUGCACAUCUUGACGGUACCUAAUCAGAAAGCCACGGCUAACUACGUG
rnacentral:rRNA from 1 species